ACACUCCUGCGGGAGGCAGCAGUGGGGAAUUUUGGACAAUGGGCGAAAGCCUGAUCCAGCAAUGCCGCGUGAGUGAAGAAGGCCUUCGGGUUGUAAAGCUCUUUUGUCAGGGAAGAAACGGUGAAAGCUAAUAUCUUUUGCUAAUGACGGUACCUGAAGAAUAAGCACCGGCUAACUACGUGCCAGCAGCCGCGGUAAUACGUAGGGUGCAAGCGUUAAUCGGAAUUACUGGGCGUAAAGCGUGCGCAGGCGGUUUUGUAAGUCUGAAGUGAAAUCCCCGGGCUCAACCUGGGAAUUGCAUUGGAGACUGCAAGGCUAGAAUCUGGCAGAGGGGGGUAGAAUUCCACGUGUAGCAGUGAAAUGCGUAGAUAUGUGGAGGAACACCGAUGGCGAAGGCAGCCCCCUGGGUCAAGAUUGACGCUCAUGCACGAAAGCGUGGGGAGCAAACAGGAUUAGAAACCCGGGUAGUCC
rnacentral:rRNA from 1 species